UAUAUAUAUAUAUAUAUAUAUAUAUAUAUAUAUAUAUAUAUAUAUAUAUAUAUAUAUAUACAUAUAAAGGGGUACCACCUCUGGUGCAAUGGUAAGGACCCACAGCCUCAAAGAAGGGAACACAGGACAUUCAGAAAAAUACUUGCCAUAUAUCUUUGAAUACGUAUGAGUGUUCACUUCUCCCACCACCCCCCUUUUUUAUGUUGUACACUUUAUUAUACAUGGUUAUACACUUACAUAUCUGAUUGUUUAAAAAAAAGUGAACAUUAAGAGGGAUAUAAGAGGAAGUUUGUUUCCUAGAUGCUGUAGAUUUUUUCGAAGUCCUCCGACGCCGGGCAGGAACCGAGGACGCAGCGGGCUUUUCCCGUCUGGAUCUCUUCACAGAGGCGCUGGAAGAGAAAGCUUGCCAGUUUAGGAGAUCUUGUAGUGUCAAUGAGCCUGGAACCAAGAUCCUUAAGAAACCUUCUUGCAUAUAUAUAUUUUUAAGCAUAUACCUUAUAUGAACAAAUCCAAAAGGGCCGUGACGAGGGUUCGAAUCCUCGUCACGGACCUUGUGGAUUUGUUCAUUUGAUGCAUCACGCUAUUGUGAUUUCUGUGUGUAAUACCUUAUAUGCGUAAACACAGAAAGAAAGCCUACGAAUAAUUUAUCUUAUGUUCAUUUUUUUCUCAGGG